UACGUAGGGAGCGAGCGUUAUCCGGAUUUACUGGGUGUAAAGGGCGAGUAGGCGGAUUGGUAAGUCAGAUGUGAAAUGUCGGGGCUCAACCCCGGAACUGCAUUUGAAACUGCUGACCUUGAGUGAUGGAGAGGCAGGCGGAAUUCCCAGUGUAGCGGUGAAAUGCGUAGAUAUUGGGAGGAACACCAGUGGCGAAGGCGGCCUGCUGGACAUUAACUGACGCUGAGGAGCGAAAGCGUGGGGAGCAAACAGG
rnacentral:rRNA from 1 species